rnacentral:snoRNA from 13 species
AAUGAAUGAUGACAAAAUGUUUCAGUCCCAAAUGAUACAUACUGAUUAUACCGUUAAUACCGUUAUAUUUAUCCUGACAUU